rnacentral:lncRNA from 1 species
GCAAACUUAUCUAGAGACAUCUGUCAUGUUCAGCUAAUACGCUUUCUGUUACAGCAGGGCAUUAAAUGUGCUUGCUUAUCUUUGUUAGCUGGCUGCACCCUCGGAGAAUAUGACGACGCCAAUCAUAAGCAUGAAGUGCUGGUAAAGAAUGAAGAAAAAUUUGUCGCUGUUUGAGUGGCUACCUUCUCCACAGUGUGGAUAGUACGAAAGCAAUGCAACCAAGCAAACAGGCAAACAGCUAUGUUAAGUAUGUGCACUACCCAAUAAAAACCAUAAGUGACGUUAUGGAUGGCAUGCACUUAGUGCUGCUGCGGAACAUCUUGCUCCUAAGCGAGGCAUCACGCAGAAAUUUGCAUCACGCUGGAAUAGUGUCGCCAAAAGUCGUCAUUCCAGUAGACCUGCCCCUGGCUUGCACCUGUGCCACUACGCCGCACCAAUUUUGUGAAGAAUGUACCGUCAGUGUGGCAUACGAGUAUAGCACUGUCUGCACUGCUCUUGCACCUGUCUGCACCACUCAUUGUGAAGGGCAGUGAUUUAGUCAUUGCCGGUCUCAGACUGGUCCAUUGCUUUGCGAGACAAAGGUUAAUGACCCUCCUGGCUGAAGUGCUGUCUUGUCCACGCUCAGCUAUCACUGUUUCACAGUUUAAUACGACGCUCAGGUGCCGUGUUGGCUGAUUUAUUACAGUCAGAAUUACAUGUGGGCAGUCUAUGGCAAUGCUGAUCUUAAGAACACAAAUUUACUAACAGAGAAGUGGUGUUACUCUUUUUUGGAACAUGAAUACUGACAUAAUGUGGAGAGGUUUUAAGACAAAGUGGAGAGGUUCGGCGUUUCAGUGACAGAUGACGCCAGCAUUUCUUUCAGUAUGAAGAUAGUGUGUUGAUGUGUCACAACCGCAGAUUCAUACCACAUCUAACAUGGUAUUAAACAAAUUGCUGCACCAAAUAAGUGCUACUUGUUUGUGAAAUUUGAAUGUGAACAGCUGUUUAUCUGAGAGAGCCACCAUACUCGUCUCCUUAGGUAUGACUUCGACAUGACUUUGUAAUGGAAGUGUAUGGCAUUGAUAAAUGUAAGAUUAAAAUGGCUGAACCCUAGAAAUCGGCUGGAUGAUGAAACCUGAGAAUGCUGCAAGUUGGUGCUUUAAAGUAGAGCCAGACUAUUCGAAUGUGCUUAAGAAUGGAAGCACCGGAGAAAACGGUUCUCUCAGAGCUGGUAUGCGAGGACAAGGCACGGCCAGGAGCCAUGACUUUUGUUUUAUAUGCUGUUGCCCCUGCACAGAAUUUUCAGCACCGAAACAGGAUGCUUGGCUGCUGCAUUGAUUGGCGGUCUUCACAGCAAAGCUCUGGGCGUGGCCACACGCUAACACUAUUUAAGUUGCAAAGCCACGGUACAGGUGUGUUGUGCAAAAGAAACAAGAAUGCUACUGCGCACAAAUGCUGCUUUCUGUAAAUGCAACAUUGGCACCCUUUUCGGUCCUCAUUAAGAGCUUGUCCAGUAUUUGCGGGCUGUUGGGCUCUGUUGCAUUAUCAUUGCCCGCUUACUCCAUGCUCAAGCACGCAUAGUUUUUCUUGUCUAGCGGCAACUCUCUAGCGUUACUAGGUUUAUUGCGUUGAAAGUUUCUAAAAAUGUUUUUGUUGCAUUUGUUGCGUCACAUUGUUGCGUGUGUUUUAAGAGGAGUACUGACAUGACAUUUUCGACUUAUUAUUUUUUGCAAUGGAUCAAGGUUUGACUAUUCUAAACCCUAGAAAUGAUAGCGGCAAUCGUCGGAGCACUCUAAAUAGGUUACUUUAACGCUCGUUUAUACAAAACCAUUUCUGUACGCAGGAGAUGUAUGCGCCAUGGUACGCUGGCUCACUUUGUUCCUGCGACCACUGCGGUUGCCAUACUUCGACACCGCCAAAAAAUAUCUACACAGCACUCUCAUUUGCUUUCUUAAAAGUGACAUCAUCGUAUACUAGCCUUACUGCUCCAUGCUGUCAGCAAAUUUAUGUCUGUGUCGGGACGUUGCAAACUUUGACGCUAGUCCGGCAUUUCGAGACCAUCUUUAGUACCAAAUAUGUUUCCCAACCUUCGUGCUUGCUAAGUCAUCUUUUUAUGUGCAAGAGUGCUAGUAUCUACAACUUUAAAAAAUUAUGUAUAGGAAAAAUGUAUCGGUACUCCUUUAAAACUCCCAAAGUUCCAGCGACCCAACAUUCUGUGUUCAUUUGCACCGCAGACUUCAUCGCCUGUUUCACUUAUUUUCCGUGGUUGUCUGGAUCAGUGGCCUCCGUAACACUGUUUGACCCAGCUCUGCAAGCAUCGUGUGGGUACUCACUGUGGAGAUUGGUGGACUCUAAUGGCAUUCUUAAUUGAAGUGAUGAAGAGCUCAUUUGAAGGUGUGACGUUUGGCAUCCUUUCUAGGAUACCUCUCGUUCUCUGUGCUGUGACAUACGAUGCACUUACGCGGCAUUACUUGAAAUUCAAGUGUGAAUGGUAAACUAAACGUAUGCUGUGUCUGGCUGUCGUAGGAGCUGAAAUCUGACUACUCAAUGACUUCAAGGCUUUUUGUCUCUACUGUGCAUGGUUUAGACACUUGUGUGAUCAUAAAGCUGCAAGCGCAUUCCGAGCGCUUGGUGUUUCACUUUUUGUUAUUGUGUAGGAAUGAUGGCUAUUGAGGCGUGUUGAUUGUAAUUUAUGAACUUUCUCGCAUUUUGUUCCGCGUUGCAUUUUGUGCGCGUACAGUGUCAUGAACUUCUUGGAUGUUUGGUGUCUUAUUUUGAACGCUUGUGUGGCAUGUUCUUUUGGAUGCCUUAAGAGAUGUCUCGCACCUUUGCCUUUUUUCAAUUUUUAUUCCUCUCGUUUGUUUUGCUCAAAUCAUUAGUCAACUCAGCUUGUUCUGUGGCCUUGUCUUGAGUCGCAAAAUGAGAAUACUAUCUUUAGAAUCAUCUGAUCACCCAAAAGGCCACAUUAUCAUCAUAGCUCAUUCUUAGCUUGGGUUGUUGUCAUUGGGACUCCUCAGAAGGUGCAUUUUUCGGCACUCUGGACUUCAGGGGGAGCUUUCACAUCCUCAACAGGCUUUUUCCUCAUUCUUAUUUAGUUUUUCUCUGCAUUCGAAACAGCAGUUUAUCUUUCCUAUCUCUCUCGGUGUUCUUUCAAUGCAGUGUGAAGUUUGGUCAUAGCCAUCAUGUUCCUCCACUUUUAUUGACACAUUUAAAAGCAGCCUCUUUAGGAAUUAGUUGGUUGUCAUGAAAGAGUUCUGUGUAAAGUGCCGAGGGCAGUUUGAUUUUACGCCACUGUCUACUUAAGAUGCUCUUCUGGUUUCACUUCAGCUACUUUAUCGCAGUCCACUGACCUCUCGAAAAGUCUUUGCCCUACCCACGCGUCAGCUGUUUCUGGCUUUCCCAGUGAUUUUUGAUGCUCCUUAGGCAUGAUGCCCGGUGAUUGUACCUGCAAACGGUGCUUUUGCAAGGCCCAUCAGGAAUUCGUGUCUUGGAGGGAAGAUAACGAAAAGUUUUUCUGGAGUGGUGUCAACCUCUAGGUUGUUUGCGCCGAUGGCGCCUUUCCCGUUGGCUCGAUGUGGCAACGCAGUUUUUCCCAUGGUCGCCGUAAGGUUUAUGUACAGCUUUGGCGACAUCGUUGGCGGACAGAAAGUGGGAAUUCUGAUGUCCAGCAACAGCGACGUCAUUUCGGUCUUGUUAAUACUGUGUCCCCGGGGUAGGCCAAGGGUGGAACAAUGAAAGGGCGGGGAGAGGAGACGUAUAAGUUGGCGCCAGGCAUUGCUCAAAGGUGUCACGAUGUGAAUGGACAGCCAAACGGACACAAACAAACAAAAAAGUGCGAUGGCACUGUACUGCAGGCUUUGAAACAUGAUGAGUCUGUGAGCGUUACCGUUCUGUGUUGUGGGCUGUGUGUACAAAAUAACACACUCGAAUCAGGAGGAAAUACUAUGCCCUUUGGAGUGGCUGUAGGAUAACGUCAGAAGCGACACUCCUUAGUGUCUAGAACAUUUUACAUACUGGCACCCUCUGCCCUCUGGUGGCAACAACGCAAACUUCGGUGCAUGGUCUGUUGUGCCCUGUCUACGCACUCUCUCACUGAUCUUCCUUUUACGUCAGAUCAUCCAGUUGCUGGCACAUGUUGGAGCAUGCACAGGUCUCGUCUGCUUCCUGUUUGUAACUGCCCCAUGAGUUAAGUGCUUGAAAUGCUUUUUUUUUCUUCUCCGAACCGUGUAUGUUAGGAUUAUUUCUGAGCCAUCUUCAAAAAGCCUCUUGUGUCAUCAUCAUGAGUGAG